rnacentral:rRNA from 1 species
AUUGAGCGCUGGCGGCAUGCCUUACACAUGCAAGUCGGACGGUAACGCGGGGCAACCUGGCGACGAGUGGCGAACGGGUGAGUAAUGUAUCGGAACGUGCCCAGUUGAGGGGGAUAACUGCUCGAAAGAGCAGCUAAUACCGCAUACGACCUGAGGGUGAAAGCGGGGGAUCGCAAGACCUCGCGCAAUUGGAGCGGCCGAUAUCAGAUUAGGUAGUUGGUGGGGUAAAGGCUCACCAAGCCGACGAUCUGUAGCUGGUCUGAGAGGACGACCAGCCACACUGGAACUGAGACACGGCCCAGACUCCUACGGGAGGCAGCAGUGGGGAAUUUUGGACAAUGGACGCAAGUCUGAUCCAGCCAUGCCGCGUGCGGGAAGAAGGCCUUCGGGUUGUAAACCGCUUUUGUCAGGGAAGAAACGCUCUGGGUUAAUACCUCGGGGUAAUGACGGUACCUGAAGAAUAAGCACCGGCUAACUACGUGCCAGCCGCCGCCGUAAUAC